GUGUCAGCCGCCGCGGUAAAACGUAGGAGCCAAGCGUUAUCCGAAUUCACUGGGCGUAAAGCGCAUGCAGGCGGUCCGGUAAGUUGGAUGUGAAAUCUCCCGGCUCAACUGGGAGAGGCCGUUCAAUACUGUUGGACUAGAGGGCGACAGAGGGAGGUGGAAUUCCGGGUGUAGUGGUGAAAUGCGUAGAUAUCCGGAGGAACACCAGAGGCGAAGGCGACCUCCUGGGUCGUACCUGACGCUCAGAUGCGAAAGCUAGGGGAGCGAACGGGAUUAGAUACCCCGGUAGUCC
rnacentral:rRNA from 1 species